rnacentral:lncRNA from 1 species
UUGAAUGUUUAAUACUUUCGUUUCUGAGAUGAAUGCCAUAGGGUUUGGAUCCUUUAAAAUCGUACUUCUAUCCCUGAAAAAUCCAAAACCCGCAGGCGCUCGCUAGCCGCUUCGCUAGGCGAGCGUGCCGCGAAGCUUCGCUAAGCUUUCGCUAGGCGAUGCAGUCGCGAAUAUGACAGUAUUUGCUUUUUUUUGUUCUUUUUACUCUAACCUGUCUUGU